AUAUAUAUAUAUAUAUAUAUAUAUAUAUAUAUAUAUAUAUAUAUAUAUUCAUCAUACUACGUAUUUAAGUGUCUCAUAAGCCUAUGUAGGCUGUGUGACAAUACGUGAUUGUAUAUAGUAUAAAUAUUUUAUGUGUGUAGUCAUGCAACACUAAUAAACAAAUAAACAAACUAAAUACUAAUGGGUCUUAACGUUAACUUAAUUAUGGUGUGAGAGUAAGAUUUUUGCGCAGUCUGUAUUAUCUUGGAAGAGAUGGCUUGUUUAAUGCUAUUGUUAUUCAUAUAAUGAUGUACUUGGUAUUAUAGUAUUUGUACAAUAUUCAGUGUGGUUUAUUAUUAUUGUAGUUAGAUCUCUAUAUUUGACUGCCUGUGUCAGUUGCCGGCCAGGUUAUAGAAACUUAAUGGCACAUACUUUGUAUGUAUAUGACUGUAUUGUUACAUGUGUAUAUUUUUAUAACGUCGUAAUGUACUUGAAUUUGUUAAAAAUUAGUAAUGAAUGUAUUAGUAAAGUAUGGCUUGUGUAUUUGUAUAAAUUAAUAAUAUAUGCUGUUAUCUCAUGCAUAUUGUGAAUCUAUUGUUUAGUAUGCACCAUGUAUUGGUCAUAUGUGAUUCGGUAUAUAUCUUUAACUAUCAGUGACAGUAUAUGAAAUGUCAUGUGUCAAUUGUCAUAUACAUGUUACAUGUAUAUGACAAUUGACAGAUGUAUAUGUAUUUCUUCUAAUGUCAUGUACAUUAUUCUUAUUUUUAUUUUAUUUUUUUAUUUGAUCGUUUCAGGGUUUUUAAAAAUACUGCAUGUUGUCAUAAUAAAGUGACAUUGUCUUGA